GCCCGUCUAGCUCAAUAGGUUAGAGCAUCAGAGACAUAGACUGAGCACAUGACUUGUAGAAUUCCUAGAAUUCCACAAGUCAGGUGCUUAACUCUUCCGAAGAUGUGAGUUCGAGGCUCGCGACGGGCA